UGCAGGAACAGGAGGGAUGCAGCCGCGUUGCUAAGCGAGCGGCGCGGGUCCCUGCCUGCCUGCCGGCGCGCAGACCCUCCGGAGCCCGAAUGGAAAUGAGUGUUUACACGUCAAACGACGACAGACAUCCUGACGUCAAGGCUAAUUAUGCUGGACCCUCCGUGCAGUGAUGCCUGAUGGAUAUGUGUUCUUCCAGCACACUGUAGCUUUUGCUUCCUUUUUUAUUGACAGCCAGAUUGAGUGCAACCUCAGCAAGUCUGCAGACACCAAACUGAGUGGGAGAGUUGCGACCCCAGAAGGAUAGGAUGUCAUCCAGAGGGACUUGGACAGCUUGGAGAAGUGGACCUAUGAGAACCUCAUGAAGUUCAACAAGGCCAAGUGCAAGAUCCUAGACCUGGAUUGGGGCAAUCCCCAAUUUCAAUAUGGGAUGGGGGAUGAUGUGAUAGAGAGUGGUCCAGCAGAAAAGGACUUGAGGUGAUGUUUGAUGAGAAGCUUGACAUGAGCCAGCAAUGUGUGCUUGCAGCCCAGAAGGCCAAGUGCAUCCUCCUGGGCUGCAUCAAAAGAAGCGUGACUAGUAGGGCGAGUGAAGUGAUUCUGCACCUCUAUUCCUCUCUUGUGAGACCUCAUCUGGAGUAUUGCGUGGAGUAUUCAGUUCUGGAAUCCUCAACAUAAGAAGGAUAUGGAACUGUUGGAACGGGUCCAGAGGAGGGCUACAAAGAUGAUCAGAGGGCUGGAGCACCUUGCAUAUGAGGACAGGCUGAGAGAGUUGGGGUUGUUUACCCUGGAGAAGAGAAGGCUCGGAGGAGACAUUAUAGCAAUCUUCCAGUACUGGAAGGGGGCUACAAGAAAGUUGGGAGGGACUGUUUACAAAGGCUUGUAGUGACAGGACUAGGAGCAAUGGCUAUAAACAGGAGAGAGGCAGAUUUAAGCUAGGCAUAAGGAAGAAUUUCUUCAUCAUGCGAGUGGUGAGGCACUGGAACAGGUUGUCUGGGCAAGUUGUGGCUGCCCCAUCCCUGGAGGUGUUCAAGGCCAUAUUGGAUGGGGCCUUGAGCAGCCUGAUCCAGUGGGAUGUGUCCCUGGCCACUAUAGGCGAGUUGGGACUAGAUGAUCUUUAAGGUCCCUUCCAACCCAGACUAUUCUAUGAUUCUACAAUUCUAUGAUUAAACUCCACUAUCUCAAUCCAUGAGUGUUUUCACCUACCUCUGAUUUCUUUCUCUUUGUCCUUCAGGAAAGGAGAGAGAGCGAAAGGCAGGGUAGUCAAAGCUGGCCCGCCUCUAAAUGCCAUUACCACAAAAAUAUUGUGCACAUAGAGAUUUAGAGCUUUUAACAUUGGCAGUUAAAGUUGGAGGAGCCAAGGAGAGGCACAAGACACCAAACACAUCUUUGAGGUCUCAGUGUUGCAUGGUGGCAUGUGAGAGAUCUGAUCCCUGCAAGCAAUGGAGAACCAGUGGUCCUCCAAGGAGCGAUGAGCUGGGUUGGUGGGGUGUGGAUGGAGAUGCUGUGUUCUUUAAGCGUGCAGGAAAAUUGCUUCUAGGCACACAAACGUCAUGGUUACCAAACUGAGUGUGUAACCUGAGCCCAGCUCUGUGACUGUUUUCCUAAAAUUAAAUGCCACAGGAUGACUGCCGGUUCUCCGAAGAACUAUCUGCUUUGUAAGUUAUCAAAACAGUAGCUUCAAAUGUCACUGGUUGAUUUGUUCUCUUCCUGUGUUUGGAGAAAGCAACAAAGGAAGGAGAAGGGUGUAUGUCAAAAGCAAUCUUCCCUAAAUCACUUUUCUCAUGCCAAACAGUUGCAGAAAUUUCCUUCUCCUGUGUACACAAGGCAUGUUGUGAUUUCCCUAGCUACCUCUGCCGAGUAAUCUUUCAGCCUCUUCUCUAAAAAAAGGCAAUUCAAGCAGAGCACGAUGCUGUAGGAUGGGGGAGACAGGAGAGAGCCGUGCAGGGUAAAUGAGGCUGAUAGUGUAACCAAAGAAAAUUCAUCUCCCAACAAGAUAAAUCAAUUCCAGCUACAGCUAAAAACAUUAAGCAUCCUCCAGGAUAAUGGUGUCUGGCCACAGGCGAAAAAGUGCUUUCUGGGGAAUGCACCCAAUAGAGUAUCAUUAAAAAAGAGACAGAAUAGUGAAAUCAAAACCAAAUGCAUGUGGAACUUCAGGCCAAUCGUCUCAAACAAAUGUUUCAUUAUUCCUGCAAUAACCAUUGGAUCAGGUGUUGUUCAGAAUCAGAAUAACCUAGGCCAAAAGGCAGCUACCAGAGCACCACUGGGAAGUUGCAUGGAACUACAUGAAUAAGAAUACUUUUUCUAUAACAAAAUUUUAUGUAACAUUUAAUAAAGCCUCUUCUCUGACAUACACCAUUGCGGACAGCCCAGUUUUCUAAGCUGCUUUUCAUCAACCCAUCUUCUUUGUCUUCUGUCUUCAGUUCUUGGUGAUUUGUGUGAACAGGACUGCAUGUAAAGAUUUAUUUAAUCAAAUUAAAAGCAAAGCCUUUUUCAGAUACAAGUAAGUGCUGCCAGUCAUUUCCCCA